AUUGAACGCUGGCGGCAGGCCUAACACAUGCAAGUCGAACGGUAACAGGAAGAAGCUUGCUUCUUUGCUGACGAGUGGCGGACGGGUGAGUAAUGUCUGGGAAACUUCCUGAUGGAGGGGGAUAACUACUGGAAACGGUAGCUAAUACCGCAUAACGUCGCAAGACCAAAGAGGGGGACCUUCGGGCCUCUUGCCAUCGGAUGUGCCCAGAUGGGAUUAGCUAGUAGGUGGGGUAACGGCUCACCUAGGCGACGAUCCCUAGCUGGUCUGAGAGGAUGACCAGCCACACUGGAACUGAGACACGGUCCAGACUCCUACGGGAGGCAGCAGUGGGGAAUAUUGGACAAUGGGCGAAAGCCUGAUGCAGCCAUGCCGCGUGUAUGAAGAAGGCCUUCGGGUUGUAAAGUACUUUCAGCGGGGAGGAAGGGAGUAAAGUUAAUACCUUUGCUCAUUGACGUUACCCGCAGAAGAAGCACCGGCUAACUCCGUG
rnacentral:rRNA from 1 species